rnacentral:rRNA from 1 species
AUUGAACGCUGGCGGCAUGCCUUACACAUGCAAGUCGAACGGUAACAGGUCUUCGGAUGCUGACGAGUGGCGAACGGGUGAGUAAUACAUCGGAACGUGCCCGAGAGUGGGGGAUAACGAAGCGAAAGCUUUGCUAAUACCGCAUACGAUCUCAGGAUGAAAGCAGGGGACCGCAAGGCCUUGCGCUCACGGAGCGGCCGAUGGCAGAUUAGGUAGUUGGUGGGAUAAAUGCUUACCAAGCCGACGAUCUGUAGCUGGUCUGAGAGGACGACCAGCCACACGGGGACUGAGACACGGCCCAGACUCCUACGGGAGGCAGCAGUGGGGAAUUUUGGACAAUGGGCGCAAGCCUGAUUCAGCCAUGCCGCGUGCAGGAUGAAGGCCUUCGGGUUGUAAACUGCUUUUGUACGGAACGAAAAGACUCUGGUUAAUACCUGGGGUCCAUGACGGUACCGUAAGAAUAAGCACCGGCUAACUACGUGCCAGCCGCCGCCGUAAUAC